AGGAUAACUUGUUCAAUAACGGAUUAUCCCCGCUGACGAAAGCGCCAUUUUUCGACCAUCGUCACGCCUUUGUCUGGCGAACAUUAGCGCAGUACCUUCAUUUAAGCGUCGCGUGGAUGUUAUGGCACUAUUUCGAUCAUUGAAUACACGGGAAACC
rnacentral:sRNA from 1 species